GUGAAUCAUCGAAUUUUUGAACGCAAAUUGCACUCUCUGGUAUUCCGGAGAGUAAGGCUUGUUUAGGGGCAGGUUUAAUAAAAAUCGGUGUGGUUGCUGCCUUACGUGGUGACGCACCGGAUUUGGGUCGUCUUGCCUUCGGGUAUGAGACCUAUAAUUUUGCAUGAUAUUUUUCGAACGAAU
rnacentral:misc_RNA from 1 species